AUUCUGGAAUUACUUGCUUUGGAGAAGUUGAAGAAGAGGUUUACCAUGAUGCUGCCUGCAUUAGAGGGUAUUAUCUAUAAGGCAAGGUUGGACAAACUUGGAUUGUUUUCUCUGAACGUCAGAGGC